UAGGGAAUCUUCCGCAAUGGGCGAAAGCCUGACGGAGCAACGCCGCGUGAGUGAUGAAGGUCUUCGGAUCGUAAAACUCUGUUAUUAGGGAAGAACAAAUGUGUAAGUAACUAUGCACGUCUUGACGGUACCUAAUCAGAAAGCCACGGCUAACUACGUGCCAGCAGCCGCGGUAAUACGUAGGUGGCAAGCGUUAUCCGGAAUUAUUGGGCGUAAAGCGCGCGUAGGCGGUUUUUUAAGUCUGAUGUGAAAGCCCACGGCUCAACCGUGGAGGGUCAUUGGAAACUGGAAAACUUGAGUGCAGAAGAGGAAAGGGGAAUUCCAUGUGGAGCGGGGAAAUGCGAAGAGAGAUGGAGGAAAACCAGGGGCGAAGGCGACUGUCUGGUAUGUAACUGACGAUGAGGCACGAAAGCGGGGGGAGCGAAAAGG
rnacentral:rRNA from 1 species